GGCCCGAGCUCUGGGGCUGCGAUUUUUCUACCCCAUCCGUUAGCCCUCCUCCACCCCUCAGAUGGAUAAUGCUUCCUCACCACCUCUACCCUCUGCACACUAUCCAGCCCUCUCCCACACAACCCACCAAUCCUCCCCCUAACCUCCUGAAUGUCUGUAUGCACCCUUAAAUUAGGCGGCAGAAGCAGAGGGAAGCUACCAAGGAGGACUGUACCUACUUGGCCUGCACUUGCAGGGAGGCAGUUAGAAAGGCCGAAGGAACUACAGAGCUGAGGCUAGCAACACAAAGACAACAAGAAGUCUUUUUAGGUAUGUAGGGAGUAAAAGAAAGGCUCAGGGUAGCAUAGGACCCCUACUGAACAAGUAGGAGCAGUUAGUGACAGACAGGGGGAACAAGGCUGAGCUAUUCAAUGAGUUUUUUGCCUCGAUGUUCCUGAACGGGGCUCAAGAUAAGUCUCCUAAUGGGUUCUUAGGUAGUCAUCAGAGGGACACCAGCCUGCCAACUGUCAGUGCUUACUUGGUGCAGAGUCACGUGGAUGGGCUGGAUGUGUUCAAGUCAGCAGGCCCGGAUGAGCUGCAUCCAAGGUUACUGAAGGAAUUGGCCAGUGUCAUAGCAGAACCACUGGCACAGCUGUUUGAAUGCUUGUGACACUCGGAUCAGGUCCUGGAGGCCUGGAAAAGGGCCAGUGUGGUCCCUAUUUUCAAGAAGGCGAGGAAGGAGGAUCUGAGAAAUUAUAGGCCAGUCAGUUGCACCUCCAUUCUUGCAAAGGUCUUUGAAAAGAUUAUGAAUGAUCAUAUUUGUGGGAGUCCAGUGGGAAAAAUAAUGCAGCAGGGAAGCCAGCAUGGAUUUGUAGGAGGUAGUUCAUGCCUGACCAAUCUGGUUUCAUUUUUUGACAGGGUCACAAAAUGCUUAGAUGCAGGAGUAGAGGUGGAUGUUGUUUUCUUGGACUUUAGAAACUACCGUCUUCGAUAUGGUAUUUCAUUCUAUUCUCAUAAAUAAAUUAAGAGACUGUGACAUAGAUGUUUGCAUGUUCUGGUGGGUGGCAAAUUGGCUUAGCAGUCACACCCCUAGAGUGGUAGUAGAUGGGUUGUUAUCAAUCUGGAAGGAUGUGGGUAGUGAGGUCCCACAGGGUUUGGUCCUUGGACGUGUACUCUUCAAUAUCUUCAUCAGUGAGUUGGAUGUGGGUGUGAAGUGUACUCUGUCCAAGUUUGCAGAUGAUACUAAAUUGUGGGGUGAAGUGGACACUCUGGAGGGUAGGGAACUAUUGUAGGCAGACCUGGACAGGUUAGAAAAGUGGGCAGUACACAAUAGGAUGCAGUAUAAGGACAAGUGCAGAGUGCUGCCUCUAGGGUGCAAAAACAUUCAGCAUGCCUACUGGCUGGGAAGUGACCCUCUCAGCAGCACAGAAGCAGAAAGGGAUCUUGGAGUCCUAGUGGACUCCAAGAUGAAUGUGAUUUGUCAGCAUAACAAAAUCAUCAGCAAAGCUUAACCUCACUUUAUCAUGCAUGACAAAUAGAUCCAAGGAGGUGAUACUUUCCCUGUAUGCAGCAUUGGUCUGCAGUUGGAGUACUGUGUCCAGUUUUGGGCACUGUAGUUGGUGUGUGCUCUUCCUGGAUGGAAUGAAAAGUAAAGAAGCCAGAUGCUGGGCUGGUAUGCAUACAAGAUAAGCAGUCAGUGAAGAUGUAGAUUGAGGAGUCAAUGGGUGAGAGGCAGGCUGGGUGGGGGGGAGAGAAGGGGGAUGAAUAGUGGAGAGGUACCUGGGGAGUCAGAUGUCAGGCAGGUUAUAUAUAAUGUGUCGUAAAUCCAAUGUCUAUAUUUAGUCCAUGAUUUUUAGUAUCCAGCUGGGCCUUUUCUCAUGUCCAGAUGCAGAUUGGCUGUCGUUCUGAUGACAUCAGUGAAAAAGAAGAGCUGAAAUGCUUCUCCCCUGUGGUCAUACCCAGAUGUUGGGUCAAAAAGCAGAGGUUGCGGCCUCAUUUACAUCAUAGCGCUGAAGGGAAGUCAGCUAGGGAAAGUUCCUGUCAUUAUUAAGAGAGCUGUGCAGGCUCCUUUCUUUCAGCUCGGCAGCGUAACUCUUCCCCCAUUCUCUGCUUUGAGACGAGUUCAGUCAUGGAUAUGGAGUGGAUGCUAGGGCUGCAGAGCCCAGUGCAGCUGUUUGCAGCCUGCCUACUUCCUGCUGCAGCUCCCCAGAGCCAAGGCUGGCUACAGGCAAAGGCCGGUAGUGGCACUGGGCUUUUCUGGGCUACACUUCUUACCUGGUAAGACAGCCUCUGUGGUGAGUCAUAGAAAUGGAGCAGCAGCGCGGGGAAAAACUGUGGCUCCGGGUCACGACGUGGAGGGAUUCUCUGAACGAGAGGAAAAAGAGAGAGACAGAGAGAGGGUGGGGGAGCAGCUGAUCCUGCUCUGAAGACACAGGAUCCCGAUCCCUCACCGGAGAAUGAAGGGAGGUGUGGAGACAGAAAGAGAAAGUAAAAGGAAAACUGUGACUGAGCCGCGCUUCGCAUACUGGCACAAACCGCAGACGGGGAAUCCCGGUGUCGGUGUUAAUCAGCCGCUAACGAGUCAAUUAGUGGCUGAUCUUCAAGAUAACAAGUAGUGCUUACCGUCUGAGACAGAUGGCGAGGACCCACGUGGCAAACUCCUUUUUUUGUUGCCUGUCGUUCUUAGAGAGCUUAGGCUAAUGAUAUUAAAACACUCUGGACAGA